CCUUUAUACUCAGGCCCAAUUCAGCCUGCCCACCAGUCCAUGGCCUAGGAGCCAACAGCUGGGAUGAUUAAAUGAAGAACGAGGCAUGCCUGUUCAACUUCAUUUGCUAGAUUGCUCAUUAGAUAUAUAAUGCCCUAUCUUGGCCAGAUAUGAAGUCCACUGUGACUGAGGUGGCCAUCUGUUCAGGGACGGAUCCUGUUAGAAUAAUCAGAGAUCGUGGGGCUCUGGCAGGCACCUCUUCCAGACCUGCGCGGGUGGAUGUGAACAGAGAAGAGAAGAUUGAGGCGGGGGGGUUGUUGCACACACCUUCCAGACCUGAGUCAGCCUCUCCUCCAUAAGGGACAAUCCCAGGGCACCCAGAUGCCUUCCUGAGGUGUAGGAGACAGUCAGGAGCCAGAGCAACAGGCAGCUGAUUAUUAACCCCUGCAGUGGUGGAUCACCCUACCUGGUUUCUGGACAUCUUGACUCGAACUCUCUUCCCCAAGAAGUCCUUCAGUGGAUUCCUCAUGAGAUAAACUUUAGGCAGCUCUGGGGAAAAAAAAAAAAAAGAAAGCCAAGUAAGCUCUUUGUAUCUGCACUUCUCCUCUCCCUGUGAAGUAUGUGCUCAGGAUUUGAAGAGUUUAUAUGUUUUUCCUACCUCUUAGACC
ensembl:lncRNA